rnacentral:rRNA from 1 species
GACGAACGCUGGCGGCGUGCUUAACACAUGCAAGUCGAACGGUGAAGCGCCUUCCUUUUUGGUGGGUGUGGAUGAGUGGCGAACGGGUGAGUAACACGUGAGUAACCUGCCCCCUUCUUCUGGAUAACCGCAUGAAAGUGUGGCUAAUACGGGAUAUUCUGGGUCUGUCGCAUGAUGGGUCUGGGAAAGAUAUUGUUUCGGUGGGGGAUGGGCUCGCGGCCUAUCAGCUUGUUGGUGGGGUGAUGGCCUACCAAGGCGGUGACGGGUAGCCGGCCUGAGAGGGUGGACGGUCACGCUGGGACUGAGACACGGCCCAGACUCCUACGGGAGGCAGCAGUGGAGAAUAUUGCACAAUGGGCGCAAGCCUGAUGCAGCGCCGCCGCGGGAGGGAUGGAGGCCUUCGGGUUGUGAACCUCUUUCGCCAGUGAAGCAGGCCUGCCUCGUUUGUGGGUGGGUUGACGGUAGCUGGAUAAGAAGCGCCGGCUAACUACGUG